AUUGAACGCUGGCGGCAUGCCUUACACAUGCAAGUCGAACGGCAGCACGGGUGCUUGCACCUGGUGGCGAGUGGCGAACGGGUGCGUAAUACAUCGGAACAUGUCCUGUAGUGGGGGAUAGCCCGGCGAAAGCCGGAUUAAUACCGCAUACGAUCUACGGAUGAAAGCGGGGGACCUUCGGGCCUCGCGCUAUAGGGUUGGCCGAUGGCUGAUUAGCUAGUUGGUGGGGUAAAGGCCUACCAAGGCGACGAUCAGUAGCUGGUCUGAGAGGACGACCAGCCACACUGGGACUGAGACACGGCCCAGACUCCUACGGGAGGCAGCAGUGGGGAAUUUUGGACAAUGGGCGAAAGCCUGAUCCAGCAAUGCCGCGUGUGUGAAGAAGGCCUUCGGGUUGUAAAGCACUUUUGUCCGGAAAGAAAUCCUUGGCCCUAAUACGGUCGGGGGAUGACGGUACCGGAAGAAUAAGCACCGGCUAACUACGUG
rnacentral:rRNA from 1 species